rnacentral:rRNA from 1 species
UAGGGAAUCUUCCGCAAUGGACGCAAGUCUGACGGAGCAACGCCGCGUGAGUGAAGAAGGAUUUCGGUUCGUAAAACUCUGUUGUUAGAGAAGAACAGCGCAUAGAGUAACUGUUAUGCGUGUGACGGUAUCUAACCAGAAAGCCACGGCUAACUACGUGCCAGCAGCCGCGGUAAUACGUAGGUGGCAAGCGUUGUCCGGAUUUAUUGGGCGUAAAGCGAGCGCAGGCGGUCAAUUAAGUCUGAUGUGAAAGCCCCCGGCUCAACCGGGGAGGGUCAUUGGAAACUGGUUGACUUGAGUGCAGAAGAGGAGAGUGGAAUUCCAUGUGUAGCGGUGAAAGGCGUAGAUAUAUGGAGGAACACCAGUGGCGAAGGCGACUCUCUAGUCUGUAACUGACGCUGAGGCUCGAAAGCGUGGGUAGCAAACAGG